rnacentral:misc_RNA from 1 species
CUUUUUCCUCAGCGCUGUGCUCGGCGGCGGUGUUCCCCUCCCCCUCCCCGCACCCACCUCGUCCAUUCGUCGACGUGUGUCGCCUCUUUUCUGCAUAUUUCUUUUCCCUUCUGCUUCACAGACGUGCGCACAAGCUCUCCCGCUGUCCUGUCGUCGUUUUUUUUUUUGCCCUGAACAACUCGUCUGCCGCAUUGCUGCACCGAAGAGUUCCCAUCACGAGACACGAUUGAAUCCACCAAUGGAAUCGCGUACAAAAUUCAAGGCAGACACGCCCGUGCAACUGCCACCAGCCAUCGACCCGGUGCGUGAGCACUACCCGUUCUGCAUUGUUUGGUCGCCUAUUCCGGUUCUGUCGUGGAUUCUGCCGUUCGUGGGUCACACCGCCGUAUGCGACAGCCAGGGCCGCAUCUAUGACUUCCAAGGGGCAUACCGAAUUGGGCAAGACCGCAUGCUGUUCGGCAACCCCGUCAAGUACUGGGACGUCUCCCGCGACUACAUCCCGUCCUUCUACAACGCCGAUCAGCAUAACUCGGCAGAGAGGGAGGAGGCAGUGAAGCGUGAGGUGGCCGCGUACGAUGCAGCCCUCAUGUCCACCAUCAGCCAUUUCCGCCAGACUGAGGUGUACAACUUUUUCACGAACAACUGCCACUCUUUCGUGGCGGCGUCGAUGAACGAGCAGCAGCUCAAGAAGCAGCACAUGGGGAUCGUGAGUAUCGCGAUUGGGAUGAUGAGGCAUGGUCGCUACAUCAGCUUUAGCCGCUUCCUGAAGGCACAUCUGCCCUCGGUCCUACUCGUCGUCAUCAUCCUCAUCCUCGCCACCCUGCUGUAAAACUCUGUGCUGCUCCGCUAUCGAUUAGGUACUUUGCUUCCUAUGCUUUAACACAUAUCCCGUGUUCUGCCCGUGCAACGCGAGCUGCACGCCACUCCACGCCCCUCCAGCCGGCCCCGUCACACCGGCCCACAUCGCCUGGCGCGAGGCAGCGGUAGGCAUACGCGGUACAGCACUGCGCCAACACAGUCACCUGGGUACGGCCUCCGUCCCAAGCGCUACACAGCCGCACCCUCCUUGAGAGUGGCGCAGGCUCCCUGCACCGCUGGGCAGAGUGAGGGCCCCGGAGGGGGAGGGAGAGGGGGGAGAUGUGUUCGAGCCACGCUGGCCGCUCCGACGCCACGCCCUCCACAACCUCGGCAGCGACAUCAGCAGCGAUACAUCGCUCUGACCUCCCCUACGUCGUCGGUGCUGGGCCCCGCCACCACCCGAGGUGGCUGGGGCAUUUGGCAGGGGUUUAGGGGUUGGGGGGGGGGGGCUGGCUCGCUUCCCCACAGCCACAAACACACACACACACACAGAGUGGGGUGCGUGCUGGGCCCUGCGACACGACGCACUGAGGGGUGCACCCUCCACCCCCCUCGUCGUCCGGGAGUGCAGCGUUACAGCUGAAAUUGCAAAGACCUGCGUAGCAUUCGCAUUUUCAGCUAUUAUUCGCAACUUUCACUCCAUCUUUUCUGUUUCCCUGACGACACCAUCGCGCAUGUGCACCUCAUCCGACCACUGCAUCAAAG